rnacentral:rRNA from 1 species
CGCGUAGGCGGUUGGAUAAGUCAGCUGUGAAAACCACGGGCUUAACUCGUGGCCUGCAGUUGAGACUGUCUGGCUUGAGUGUGGGAGAGGAGAGUGGAAUUCCUGGUGUAGCGGUGAAAUGCGUAGAUAUCAGGAGGAACACCGGUGGCGAAGGCGGCUCUCUGGACCACAACUGACGCUGAGGCGCGAAAGCUAGGGGAGCAAACAGGAUUAGAUACCCUGGUAGUCCUAGCUGUAAACGAUGGAUACUUGCUGUGGGGGGUGUUAAAUCCCCCUGUGGCGGAGCUAACGCAUUAAGUAUCCCGCCUGGGGAGUACGGUCGCAAGGCUGAA